GCCUGAAAGAGAGCAAUCCGUGGACAGUAUGCUACAAACCGUGACUGUCAUGGAGUCGCUCUCUUUAAGGCGC
rnacentral:pre_miRNA from 1 species